UCAUAAUGUUUUAAGAAACUUUACAGAUUUAUGCUGGGCCGCAUGUGGCCAUGUGGCCUACAGGCCUCGAGCUGGACAAGCUUGCUCUAGAUGUUGGUUGUUCAUUGGAAACACUGAGUCUUGCUGUUUUCUCUGUACUCUGAAUAAUAUGGCUAACCCUGGAGGUAGAGAUUCACACUCCAAGGCCUCCACAUGCCCUUCUGUGGAAGGGGCUCAGGCAGUUGAACCUGGGUAUACCCUGGGCAGUGACCCACACAUCCUGUUACAUCUUCCUCAAGAGGCCAUUCACAUGCCACCUCCUCGCAGACCACACAUGCUCCCCUAUGCAGACUCAUCACUGUCUCAUUAAGGUGGUAGAGGCCCUCGGCAUAGCAUGGAGGCUAUCAGGCCAGGUCCUAACCUAGACAGCCAGGAACAAAUCUUUGGUCCAAAGCUAGAUGGCUACAUGAUCUUGGGCAGGUGACUUAAUAUCCCUGUGUCACUGGGUCCUGAUCCAUAAGAGGGAGAGGAUGGCAAGGGCUGAAGUGCAGAUCUGCCAAGGCAGCACCCAUGAUGCCCUCCUCCCAGGGGUUGGCACAUGGGUGGUGUUCAGGUAAUGUCAGUUUCAACUCUUGCUACUGAGGGCAGAUUCGACCUCGCAUACCGGCUGCUCCAAAACAUGUCACUAACGCUCCACUGGUAUUUUCUAAAAGUCAGUCUUUCUUAGGCCAGUUAUAGACAGGAUUGUUUUCCAAGUAGCCUCCUGCCCUUUGGGAUUGAAAUUCAUUAUAAACCUGGCAGACACUCACCUGCUCAGUCCAUGCUGGGGAAAAGAAUCUUAGCAGAAGUUUCCUAAUUAAAGCUACCAGAGUCAGAUAAAGCCAGGAAAAUGGUUACAGGUUAAACGAUGGGAUUAAACAGUGAAGAGUGCCAGAGCGGAGGAAGAACUACAAAGAAACUGCAAUGAUGCUUCUUCCAAUGUGUUGUCCAGGAUGUCCAGUGAAUGUCCUCCACCUCUGAGCCAUAUGGCCAAAGUUACGUGGCUGAGUAGGGCUCAUGGACGUGUUUCAUCUGACAGAGCCUCUCAAGCUUCCAGCUCCAGUUGCACUGGACACCCUCACAGCCCUUCUGCAGAGCUGGGAAUGGCCAAAUCCUGCAGGCCCACUCAUGUCCCUGCAAGAAUCCUGAUGUUGGGAGAGAAAGCAUGCAUGUUCCCUCCUUUGCUGCUCCCCAAACGAAAGGCCACCUGCAGCCUUAUAUUUGCAAGAAACUCAUGCUGAGCAUCUGAGCCUAGGAAGACACAGAGUCCUGUCCUCCAACAGCCAGCUCUCAGGCCUUCUCGAACCUCUCCCUUCCCUGCCAGAUGUGACCUUGUACUCUGGAUGCCUGUGGUUUGGCUUUCUCCUCCUCACAAACAUGGAUGCUGUCCUUCUAGCAGAGGGAUUGAUGUGUUUAUGCAUGUAUCAUACCUUCCCCUCUGAGGAUGGGGGCAUGCCUUGCCCAAAGCACCCAGCCAGGGCUGAGCACAGGGACUCAACUAGGAGGAUUUUUGCUGACUGAUAAGUCCCCACUGGACAGGUCUGAGGGUUCUCCCCAAACCAUGCACUCUGGCAGUGGGCUAGUCUGACCACCUCCCCCGCCGUGUGUGUGAGACCCGCUGGUGGGCACUGUACACAGCAUGGACGUGGAAGACAAGCCUGGAAGUGAUGACUCUGCUGGAGUGAGCAGCACCACAACACAGAGCAGAUCGCUGGAGGGAAAGAUCACCUGGGGCGGCACUCCAGGGUGGAGUCAGGAGGACAUGGAGUUUUGGAGGCACACAGACAGCCCCGGAAGGCAAAAGUGUUCAUCAAGCAACCUCUGACUCAAGGAUAUCCCUGGACCACACCCCUGGGAGUGAGUGCACCAGGGAGUCACAUUAAUCCCAUAAACCCUGUUGUUGUCCUGUGACUGGCACCAUUCAUGCAUGGCAGUUUUAUACAUUAAAAAUGUCUAUGUUUUGGAGCCAAGUGAA